rnacentral:rRNA from 1 species
UUAAGCGACUAAGCGUACACGGUGGAUGCCCUGGCAGUCAGAGGCGAUGAAGGACGUGCUAAUCUGCGAUAAGCGCCGGUAAGGUGAUAUGAACCGUUAUAACCGGCGAUUUCCGAAUGGGGAAACCCAGUGUGACUCGUCACACUAUCAUUAACUGAAUCCAUAGGUUAAUGAGGCGAACCGGGGGAACUGAAACAUCUAAGUACCCCGAGGAAAAGAAAUCAACCGAGAUUCCCCCAGUAGCGGCGAGCGAACGGGGAGGAGCCCAGAGCCUGAAUCAGCAUGUGUGUUAGUGGAAGCGUCUGGAAAGGCGCGCGAUACAGGGUGACAGCCCCGUACACAAAAGCGCAUGUGCUGUGAGCUCGAUGAGUAGGGCGGGACACGUGGUAUCCUGUCUGAAUAUGGGGGGACCAUCCUCCAAGGCUAAAUACUCCUGACUGACCGAUAGUGAACCAGUACCGUGAGGGAAAGGCGAAAAGAACCCCGGCGAGGGGAGUGAAAAAGAACCUGAAACCGUGUACGUACAAGCAGUGGGAGCACAGGUUUACCUGUGUGACUGCGUACCUUUUGUAUAAUGGGUCAGCGACUUAUAUUCUGUAGCAAGGUUAACCGAAUAGGGGAGCCGUAGGGAAACCGAGUCUUAACCGGGCGUUAAGUUGCAGGGUAUAGACCCGAAACCCGGUGAUCUAGCCAUGGGCAGGUUGAAGGUUGGGUAACACUAACUGGAGGACCGAACCGACUAAUGUUGAAAAAUUAGCGGAUGACCUGUGGCUGGGGGUGAAAGGCCAAUCAAACCGGGAGAUAGCUGGUUCUCCCCGAAAGCUAUUUAGGUAGCGCCUCGUGAAUUCAUCUCCGGGGGUAGAGCACUGUUUCGGCUAGGGGGCCAUCCCGGCUUACCAACCCGAUGCAAACUGCGAAUACCGGAGAAUGUUAUCACGGGAGACACACGGCGGGUGCUAACGUCCGUCGUGAAGAGGGAAACAACCCAGACCGCCAGCUAAGGUCCCAAAGUCAUGGUUAAGUGGGAAACGAUGUGGGAAGGCCCAGACAGCCAGGAUGUUGGCUUAGAAGCAGCCAUCAUUUAAAGAAAGCGUAAUAGCUCACUGGUCGAGUCGGCCUGCGCGGAAGAUGUAACGGGGCUAAACCAUGCACCGAAGCUGCGGCAGCGACACUGUGUGUUGUUGGGUAGGGGAGCGUUCUGUAAGCCUGCGAAGGUGGCCUGUGAGGGUUGCUGGAGGUAUCAGAAGUGCGAAUGCUGACAUAAGUAACGAUAAAGCGGGUGAAAAGCCCGCUCGCCGGAAGACCAAGGGUUCCUGUCCAACGUUAAUCGGGGCAGGGUGAGUCGACCCCUAAGGCGAGGCCGAAAGGCGUAGUCGAUGGGAAACGGGUUAAUAUUCCCGUACUUGGUGUUACUGCGAAGGGGGGACGGAGAAGGCUAUGUUGGCCGGGCGACGGUUGUCCCGGUUUAAGCGUGUAGGUGUGUGUUCCAGGUAAAUCCGGUUCACUUUAACACUGAGGCGUGACGACGAGGCACUACGGUGCUGAAGCAACAAAUGCCCUGCUUCCAGGAAAAGCCUCUAAGCAUCAGGUAACAUCAAAUCGUACCCCAAACCGACACAGGUGGUCAGGUAGAGAAUACCAAGGCGCUUGAGAGAACUCGGGUGAAGGAACUAGGCAAAAUGGUGCCGUAACUUCGGGAGAAGGCACGCUGACACGUAGGUGAAGUGAUUUACUCAUGGAGCUGAAGUCAGUCGAAGAUACCAGCUGGCUGCAACUGUUUAUUAAAAACACAGCACUGUGCAAACACGAAAGUGGACGUAUACGGUGUGACGCCUGCCCGGUGCCGGAAGGUUAAUUGAUGGGGUCAGCGCAAGCGAAGCUCCUGAUCGAAGCCCCGGUAAACGGCGGCCGUAACUAUAACGGUCCUAAGGUAGCGAAAUUCCUUGUCGGGUAAGUUCCGACCUGCACGAAUGGCGUAAUGAUGGCCAGGCUGUCUCCACCCGAGACUCAGUGAAAUUGAACUCGCUGUGAAGAUGCAGUGUACCCGCGGCAAGACGGAAAGACCCCGUGAACCUUUACUAUAGCUUGACACUGAACAUUGAGCCUUGAUGUGUAGGAUAGGUGGGAGGCUUUGAAGUGUGGACGCCAGUCUGCAUGGAGCCGACCUUGAAAUACCACCCUUUAAUGUUUGAUGUUCUAACGUGGACCCGUAAUCCGGGUUGCGGACAGUGUCUGGUGGGUAGUUUGACUGGGGCGGUCUCCUCCUAAAGAGUAACGGAGGAGCACGAAGGUUGGCUAAUCCUGGUCGGACAUCAGGAGGUUAGUGCAAUGGCAUAAGCCAGCUUGACUGCGAGCGUGACGGCGCGAGCAGGUGCGAAAGCAGGUCAUAGUGAUCCGGUGGUUCUGAAUGGAAGGGCCAUCGCUCAACGGAUAAAAGGUACUCCGGGGAUAACAGGCUGAUACCGCCCAAGAGUUCAUAUCGACGGCGGUGUUUGGCACCUCGAUGUCGGCUCAUCACAUCCUGGGGCUGAAGUAGGUCCCAAGGGUAUGGCUGUUCGCCAUUUAAAGUGGUACGCGAGCUGGGUUUAGAACGUCGUGAGACAGUUCGGUCCCUAUCUGCCGUGGGCGCUGGAGAACUGAGGGGGGCUGCUCCUAGUACGAGAGGACCGGAGUGGACGCAUCACUGGUGUUCGGGUUGUCAUGCCAAUGGCACUGCCCGGUAGCUAAAUGCGGAAGAGAUAAGUGCUGAAAGCAUCUAAGCACGAAACUUGCCCCGAGAUGAGUUCUCCCUGAGACUUAGAGUCUCCUGAAGGAACGUUGAAGACGACGACGUUGAUAGGCCGGGUGUGUAAGCGCAGCGAUGCGUUGAGCUAACCGGUACUAAUGAACCGUGAGGCUUAACCUU